rnacentral:rRNA from 1 species
AUUGAACGCUGGCGGCAUGCCUUACACAUGCAAGUCGAACGGCAGCACGGGGCAACCUGGUGGCGAGUGGCGAACGGGUGAGUAAUGCAUCGGAACGUACCUUUCAGUGGGGGAUAACGUAGCGAAAGUUACGCUAAUACCGCAUAUUCUGUGAGCAGGAAAGCAGGGGAUCGCAAGACCUUGCGCUGAUUGAGCGGCCGAUGUCAGAUUAGCUAGUUGGUGAGGUAAAGGCUCACCAAGGCGACGAUCUGUAGCGGGUCUGAGAGGAUGAUCCGCCACACUGGAACUGAGACACGGUCCAGACUCCUACGGGAGGCAGCCGUGGGGAAUUUUGGACAAUGGGGGCAACCCUGAUCCAGCCAUGCCGCGUGAGUGAAGAAGGCCUUCGGGUUGUAAAGCUCUUUCGGCCGGGAAGAAAUCGCACGGGCUAUACCCUGUGUGGAUGACGGUACCGGAAUAAGAAGCACCGGCUAACUACGUGCCAGCAGCCGCUGUAACAC